CCUUGGUGCUGAACCACUAGAAGUUCUCGCGACGUCAGAAAAGCUUGCGCUUUCCAUGUGUGACACGCGAGCCCAGCUUUGUGAUUUGUAGAAGUAACUCCACACACCGUUAGUCGUCGCUUCUAUUGGUUGUUGUUCAUUUUAUGUUAUUCCAUAGUCAUCCCCGUUAACGCAUCUAAGUUUUUUUCUGUCUUUAGUUACCAUUAGGAAUUAUACCAACAUUUACUGUAGGCCUGUGUAAGGAAAGCAAUGAGAUUAUAAUGCUGACUAAUCCGUGAAUUUCCAUUUUCAUCAUGUAUUUUUCUCUUAGGUUGGCAUUUUUACAAUGAUUCACGCGGUUUCACAGAGCUCAUCCAGUGUUGAUUUUAUAUUCAAUAAACAGAUACAUCGCCUGCUCCACCGGUUUGUUCGGUCACAUUAGGCUACACUUUUACAUAUUUUUUUUUAGUAAAGCAUUACAUUUCUUUUUGGAGUCCGUCAAGAUGAAUGCCAAAGAGGGGAUAAUGGAUGUUGGGGCGAACACCCUGGGGCAGAUGUACAAGUUGGCAUGCUGUCUUGACCACAUGGGUGGGCAGUUGUCUGACUACCUACACUGCAGGAACAUUCUCUCCACCGUUACUGUCAGGAAGAUUAACAUGUGGCGGCGUUUGAUCUACUCAUCAUGCAUAAUUAUGUAUAUUUAAAAAAUGGUUUGGGAUGGGUGCUACACUGCUGCUGGUAGUGGGGUUUUCCUACACCAAAAGAACGGUCAGCUCCUUCCUGGUCUUUGCUAUCGCCUUUAGUGGAUCUGCAAAAACAGGUCAAUGCCUGUGAUACACAUGAAACACAGUAUCAGAGAGCCAACCAAGUCAGAACACAGUUGGCUGUUGAAGCAUUCUCUUGAAAUCUGCGUAAACAGAAGAAAUGUAUUUCUUACUCCAUAGAGUCCUUCUGGAAAGGACACUAUUUAUAGUUCAACAGCCAACAAUGUGGUCUAAAAAAGCUGUGUAAAACCCUGCUACAUAGGAAAAGGGUUAUUUUUUCACACAAAUAUUCUAACUAAUGUUCGUCUCUGCAGGGCAAACCUUGGUUUCAAUUCAUCUUGUUUUCUUGGGCUAUCUCUAUAGUGUUUAAUAAUUCAGCAAGUCCCAAAGGAGCUGCCAUACAUGCUGGCUUUGUGCAGCUACAGAGGACUCAGUGUGGGGGAGGAGAAUGUCUGGCUAGCUGCUGCCUCAUGGCUGCAUAGGGCUUCGUAUGUCAUUGUAAUUUGAUUUCCAUAACAUUUAUAGAGGAAUGAAUAAGACUAAGGUACUGUUGACACUCUGUUUAGGAUAUUUCCAAUUUUUUUAAACAUCCAUUAAACUAGUUAUCUAUUAAGGACAAUUUUAUUCUUUUAAGAUAAAUAUUAAUUAUUACAUACCAAAAGCACUAGAGAACAUCUUAUGUGAUUGAUUUGAUCAAAGAGAACACCUAACCCAAACCCCAUAAAUGUAUCCAAUAGAGUGCUAAUGAAGGGUUGUAUACGUCCCAUUUUACACAAGCAGAUGAGAUAAGAUGGCAAUCCAAACACAGCCUUUCUUUUACUUGCAAUUACACCUGGUAUUAAAAUGUAAUUGCUUUGGUUGAAUUGUAUCUGCAUUGUGUUUGGAGCUCACUUAUACCUCUCAUUUAAGCAGAAAACAUGUGGGUCCCUAUCAGUUGGACAUUUGAUACAACAUCUAGGGGAGAAACUCACAAAUACCCAGAACCCAAAUUCAAUCAUGCUUUUUUAGACCAAACAGGUGUUGAGACUGUCAGGAGCCUCAACUUCAGGGUAAUAUAAAACCAGUUUGGCCCUGAUCACAUUAAUUCUUUGCUUUUUCCCACACUAAACAUGAUGUCACACUUUCGUAAAAAGAAGAAAGAAAUUGCAUGUAGUGUGCAGCAUUAGAGGGGAUGUGAGCAAUGGUCGCUUUGUAGUUCCUUGUCAUACUCAAGGUGGUGGCACCCCCCAGUGGCUUAGCCAUUAAGGUGACAUAGCUGCUCUGUCCAGCAUUUGUCCAGAAAUGUGUGCCCUUGGUAAAGAUGGGUAAAAAAAAAAAAAAAAGAAGAUAUUUUUCAUUGUUGUUUUUAAGCAUGAUCUUACAUUAAAAUUAUGAGGACUCUAACCUUUAAUUGAGCUAAAUAAAUUGUUUUCUCUAAAUUGUGUAAUGAUUAUUGGCAAUGUACAAUUAUUCCUUUGUGCACUACCCUUGCCAAUAGAACAGCACUUAGUCUAUCUUUAUUGUCCUUUGUUGCUUGCUAGUGGAUUCUUCUUCUGCUCACCCCACAGGUUAAGUGGGGAUUAGUGCCACUGGAAAAUCCAACAACAAAGACCCAGUAUUAGUCCCCUGACAAAAGCAGGCAGAUUUUGUGCCAUUUCAUAUUUAUACCCCGGUGACACAGGAAGUAAUGGAUGAUCAUAAUUACUCAGAUGGAGUUAAAAAAUAUGUAUCAAAUUAGAUUUGGUUCAUAAGAAUUUCUAAUAAGAAGUGGGCCAAUAACUGUGAUUUAUUUUGGAAUAAUAUUUAGAAAAGUGUGGGGUCACGUAAAUGUUUUUGUUUUUGAAAGAAAAGUGAAUUUUCUGUUCCAUAAAAUAACAUAAGAGUUAUCAGAAAUACAGUGUAGACAUUGAUAAUGUUGUAAAUGGCUAUCGUAGCUGGAAAUGGAUGACUUUCAAUGGAAUAUCUACAUAGGCGUACAGGGACACAUUAUCAGCAACCAUCAAUCCUGUGUUCAACCGGCAAAUUGGGAUUGCUAAUCUAAGUUUAUCUAGGGUAAUUGAUCAUUAGAAAUCUCUUUUGCGAUUGUUAGUACCCGGAGAAUACUGUUGUGCUGAUGAAAGAAGCAAUUAAACUCAUCUUUAGACUAGCUCAGUAAAUUCAACAUCAGCAUUUGUAGGUUCCAUUACAGGCUCAAAGGGCCAGAAACAGAUAACCUUCUUCUGAAACUCUUCAUUCUUUUCAUGUUCUGAGAAAUUAAGGCUAUUCCAUGCUAAAAAUUGCCAAAAUACUGAAGAUCUCAUACAAAGAUGUUUAGUACUUCCUUCACAGAACAUUGCAAACUGUCUCCAACCAGAGUAAAAAGAGGAGUGGGAGUCCUAGAGCACAACUGAGCAAGAGAACAAAUACGAGUUUCUAGUUUGAGAAACAGACGCCUCACAGGUCCUCAACUGGCAGCUUCAUUAAAUAGUACCUGCAUACCUCCAGUCUUAAUGUCAACAGUUAAGAGUUGACUCCAGGAUGCUGGCCUUCUAGGCAGCGUUGCAAGAGAAAGUCACAUCUCAGACUGGCCAAUAAAAAGAACAGAUUAAGAACACAGACACUGGACAGAUUAAGAUCUCUGUUUAGAAGGCCAGCAUUAUUGACAGUGAGACUGGUGUUUUGCGGGUAAUAUAUAAUGAAGCUGCCAAUGGAGGACUUUUAAGGCAUCUCUUUCUGUGACAAACGGAUACGAGUAUGAUGAGAUUGGCACACUCAUAGUCUGCUCUGCUGUGCCUAUAACAGAAAGCCAGGCCUAUAUGUAAGCUGUCUUAAAAGAGGAAGACAAAAUGUAGCCUGGUGGAUUAACAUUAAAACAGCACCUGAAUACCAUGAUGUAUAGGCAAUAUUUAAUAUAGGCAACUUGAAUAUUGACUACAAAUUAAUUUCUAAUUAAAUUCUACAUAAAUAAUAGGGAAAAGUAAGCUCUGAACACAAGGCAAACAGAGUGCAUUUUAUUGUUUGAAUAUUUUAUGUUAUUUUCUACCUAAUUGAAGACAUUACAAGAGUUGUAUACCUUUAUAGUUAAUUUAAAUCUACCCUGUUUAUGAUGUUUUAAUUUAACAUGUUCAAGAAAUAUGUAUUUGGCUUUGAGGUUUAUUGACUGAAACCAGGGAAAUUAUGACAAUUGAUAGAAACUAACUCCAUUAGUGUACUUCCAAAUCCGACUACUAACAACUUGUUAAAGUUACAGGUAUUCCAUACUGGGCUUCUACUUAUUUUUAUUACAGAGAUUCUAACUUUUAUGGACACACACUAUCCUUUCUAUGCAGUGUUGUAAAAGGUCCAAGUGGCAUGACUUAGUAUAUGAAUGGUCAGCAAGUUAUUUUUUUGGGGGUAAUGCUAGUGGACAACCAGUGCAAGCUAGAAAAGCCCCAUUAAAAUAACCUUACGAUUGGAGAUACGUAUCUGUAAAUGAUCUGUAAUAACACUGGACAACUCAGUCACCCUCCUGCCAAGGCAAAUAAGGAAUGAAAGGGGAAAUGCAGAUAUGGAGAAUGGAAAAUGACUGAGGAAGUGGACAGUAGAAAUAGUGAGAAAUGCCUCUCAGGAUCUCUUCUUCAGAUGGGAUCUAGGAAGGGGUGGGCAGGGUGUCUCUAGAACCCAAGCAUUAGGCCUUCCUUUGUCCUCAUGGCUGUUGCCAAUGGCAGCGCAGUGGGUUGACAAAGACUCAGAGCAAAUCUCAUUAAAAAGUGAGAGGAUUGGGUUGAAGGAGGCUUUUUAAUAAAACUACACAGAAAGCAUGUAUAUUACAUUCUGUCAAAAACAUCUGCCCCCACCAUAACUUUUUUCCCAAAAAAAUCUUAGUUAAAAGAAAGGUUUAAUAUUUUUGAACCUGGUGCCUUUUUUCUGAUUAUCUAACACAAUCCUGAACUGUCGAAUAAUUACAGUUUUGAGUUUGUUUGAUUUUCUUUUUAAACGAAGCCUCUCUCCGGGCUACAAUGGAAGUGAACGGGGCAAUGGAUAUAGCGUGCAAAAAUAUGAUUAAUUAGUUUUUCCAAAACGGAAGGCCAUGGUAAGUCUCCAUAUGUUCCGAGAAAACAAUUUGUGCCAAAACUAGCAUUGUAUCCAUGGUUAUCGCUGUUUAUUAUUUCUGGUUAAUGUAUUGUAUUAGUUAAUGCCGUGUGGAUUAAUCUUUUUGCGAGGAGGCUAUAUCCAGUCACAGGCUUUAUUUACAAAACUGUAGCCCAUGUUAGCUAGUUGUCUAUUUGCAUCUGUUUACCAGCAGCUAAUACAACUUAUCAUUUUUGUUUGACGAAUGAUGGAACACAAAGGUUGCAUGCCUCAAGAAACUCACUAUUUUGACAGCAAUGCCUACAGGUUUGAGCCAGAGUAUACAGACAAGAAAUUAGAAGCAAUGGAUGAGAAGAGAGCUGAAGAAGAUCUGCAACUACUCAACGUUGCAUCCUAGUCCAGACCAAGAACUUUCAGGGGACAUUUGAUGCUCUUGCCACAAGUGCAAGCAGAUGCCCAGAAAGGAGGAGAGUUUGUGCUGUAAGAAUUUGGAUUUAUUGCUACCUAAUGCCAUUGAGAACCUAGAUGUGUCUGUGGAUGAGUCUCAAUCGGCUCCAGCGUGUGCAGCAAACAGCUCUCAUAAACCGCGCUGUUUUGGAAACGUUCUUCCAUGUCCCCAAAAUAAUUUGGAAAAAGAGUCAGAGGCCAGAGGGACCAAACAGACAACUCUCAAAUCUGUAAGUUGGCAUGUAAUAACUAUUUGGAUAAUACUGUCAUAAGUCAUUUCCUGUGGCAUUGAUAUGUGGAAGUACUAAAAUUACUACGAUCUCUCCUAUUUGGAACAGCCAUGUCAGUUAUUUUCCUACAGUGUUUAGAAAAUCCUCGGGCUCCACUGAUAAUUGCAAUGAAUAAAAUUAAAUGUUGCCUCCCCAAAGUAGGUUUCAUUUCAUAGUAGGCUAAUUAAUAGGAUUUGGCCUCACAUACCUGUACUCCAGGGUUGUUUGGUUGCACUGCAAGUCUGGAACAGACGUAUUCCCUUUUUGUUGUACAUUCUUAGUAAAGUCAGCAAUACCAAAAUGUUCCCCACAAACCCAAUGGUCAGCCAAGCAAGUUAAUCGACUGGAGUGUUUACAUCAAUCUGUUGGACGAUGAGUCAAAGUCUCAUAUAUUCAGGGUUGGAAAACAGAAGCCUAUGAAAAGUGAUCUGUGAGGUAGAUUUCAUUUUAUUAUUACAACUGGGAACCGCACAUUGUCGAACCAAUGUGAUGAAUUCCCAUCAAUUCUGAUUGUUGCUAGAUAGGUAAUUCCAACAUGAGGUCAGCACCGAAGUUCAUCUGCGUUUUCAAAAAGCACUGCUCCCACAAAGAGUGCUGCAUACCUUGAGUGCGGAAGUUUUCAUGUCCUGAGGCAGUGCAUCGUUUAUGAAAAAAAAAAAAAAGGUUUCACG